CAAAUCCGGCGUCUCCCCCUCCCCCUCCCCCAAAAUUCCUUCCAAAAUCUCAACUUUUCCUUUCCAGUUCCACUGCCAAUUUCCAAUCACUUCCCGCUCGUUUUCCCCCUCCCAAUUCUUUAAAAAAAAUUCAUUCCUUCUCGCUCAUUCUUUCACCAAAUAUCACAUACAUUUCCUCAUAUACAGACCCACUUAUUCUGUAGAGCAACAGCGUUUUGUCACUGUUGAUUCUCAACUCAAAUUGAAAUUCACUUGAAUUUAAAGAUGUCGCAUUGAGUAAGAUGGACUUCCAUUCCUAGGGUUCCCAGGUUGCUAGAUGAGGAAGACAAUGGCUGGACUGAAACUAGGUAUGAGGAUACUGAUAUAUCUCUUUCUUUAGAGGACAACGAUAUACCUGAUGUAAGGAAAAGGCGUCCUAACCACGGUGCGAAUGGUUGUCCAAAUGAAACUAGAAGAAUUCUUUUAACCGUGAGAGAUGAUAGGUAUGUAUCCUAACCUUUUUUUAGUUUGUGUUGAAUGCAAAAUGAUUUCAUUGGUUUUAAAACUUACUAAAGAGGAUGUAUAAUUUGCACUGCUUGUGUGGUUAAUGAUUUAUGCUUAACAAUGUUAACCAUUGAAGUAAAUGAAUAUCCUUUAUGAUUUUUUCAGGUUAUUCUCGUACAUUUAGAAGAAAUCACCAUGUAAAAGCACAUAAUUCAGAUUUUAUCUCCUACAUUUUGACAAGUUGUAUAGAUUAGAAGGUUUGGUGUUCUGUGCAACCUUACAACCUUAUAGACAAAACUUAUGUGCUGAUAAGUUUAGAUCAGCUGCAAUAAAAAAAAAGUUAUGGGAGGCUGUGAUUUAUUAAGUUUUAGAAUUUUCGCAAUUGAUUAAGUUUAGGAGAGUUAAAAUUGGAAAGAAGACAAAGCACUUUGUCCAGGAUAAAAUGUUGGUUUUGCUUUGACAUUGCAAUCAACUUGUGUGAAUUAUUCCCCCAAUUACUUUCUACUUCAAUUCAGUGUUUGAAGAUACAGAGACAAAAAAAUGCAUUCAUUUGCUUUAAAAAAAUCAACAAGUUACAUUUUGAAGAAAGUAAAAUAGUUGUUUGCUUCAGUUUUCCUACUAUUUGCCUGAAUCCCUCACUCCUUUAAGUUCCAUGCUAUCUGGUUUAAGUUUCCUGCCUCUGUUUUCAUGCUUUUAGAUUCCUUACUAUCUCAGCAUCAUGUAAUACAUUAAUUUAGUUAUUAAAAAAAUAAAAAAAAUAGAAGAAGAAGAAAAGUCAAACAUGUCAUACCAAAAAAAAAAAAAAAAGAGAGGCUGUGGAUUGAUUUAUAUCAAUCCACCCAUGUUUAAAAUCUAUUCAUUUUGUCCCACAAACACACACGCAACACACACUAAUAGAAAACGAGAGCAAGGAGAAAAAUGAAGGAAAAAGUGGAAGGAAAAAAAAAAAAGGAAAGGAAAGGAAAGGAAAGGAAAAAAAAAAGGAAAGUUCGCCUAUGUUGUUAAAAAAUAAGUGGUCUACAUUAUUAGGAUUGAAUUCCUCAAUUUUGAAAGGUAAGUAAAAAGUUACUUAUUGUCAAGUUAUGUUUGAUUAUAUAGUUGUUAGAUUGUUAGAUUAAAUUCAAUUUUAUUGAAGGGUUUAAGUAUAAUAAACUAUGAAAUUGAGUAAAAUGAAAGAAAAACUAGUUUUAGUGAUUAAAUAGACCAUGAAAAUCGCUUAAACGUGAAAUGAUUAAGUUUGGGCAUCGUCUCUUUAAUUAUUGAAAUUAUUUAAAAUAAUUAAUUCUUUAUUUAAAAAUUAUAUCGUAUUUUAGGCGACGAUAUUGACAUCAGAACAGCUUACCAACUGGGUUGAUUUUGCGAACAUAAUAUUGUGAGUGGAAAAAUAUAAAUAUUUUUAAAGUACUUAUAAAUUAAGUAUAUUAUUAAAGUAUGUGUAAUUAUAUGCAAUUAUGUGUUAGAAUUAUAUGGUUAUUAUGGAAAUAUAUUUUAUUAUGAUAAUGUGGAUUUUAAAGAUUGUAUACGUUACAUUGUGAAUUGGAAUAUGAGACAUGAUUUUGAGAUCGACCAGAAAAGUACCCGUGAUUAUAUAUUCUUCUAAUUCAUAGAGGGGCCUUGGCCGUGUUCUAUCCUACACGAAGGGUCUUGACCUGACAUUGGUCUUGAUCGUGUGCAUAUAGUUCACAAAAGAGCUUUGACCGUGUUCUAGAAUUGAUUAUGAGAGGUCUUUGAGGUCGGCUUUCGUUCACGGAGGGGGCCAAAGGCCCGUGGUAAAAGUUCUUAGCCCGAGGGGCGGAUUACAGAUUUGAGUCAGUUGAUACAUUUUUGGUGGAUUCUCUAGCACAUUUGAUGGAAUGAGAUUAUAGCAUGGUUAUCAACUGAUAUUUAUAUCAUGAUUGUGAGAUGAUAUUUUACGACCUUAUAUGAAUAUUUCACUUUUGGUUAUAAUUACAUGAUGUUAUCUUGUGAAUUAUUAAAUGAUAUAAACUCCAUUUUCGAUAGAAAUGUAAAAUUGAAAAAGUAUAAUUAUUUUCGAACUACUCCACUCACUGAUUUAUCAACUCAUAUAAUUUCCCACAAUUUUUUCUACAGGUGAAAAUUGAUUCUUUUUAACUGGAAGAGCCUAAUGAUUUCGGAAUGAGAGCCGCACGACAUGUUGAGUGUUAUAAUUCAUAUUAAUGAAGCACGAAGAAAAUAUUUUGGGCCCAUCACAUUAUAUUUUAUAUAAGCACUUGAUUUUGUUGCAUUUUUUUGAAAUAACUCAUUGUCAGUUUUGGUGAUAGAUUUGACAUUUAGUCAGCAUCUAUCAUCGGCACACGUCACGUUUCGGGUCCACUAGGGUGAUUCGGGACUGGUGGUGUCAAAGUGGUAUCAGAGCAUGGUUUUGAAAAUUUUUAUGGCUUAUGCAUGUGCAGUGGAUAUGAUCACAUGUCGUUGUGGCAGAAAUCACAAGCUCUCUAGCUCGAAUGUAUGGAACCAAAAAUGAUAUAAAUAUAUUUUUAACAGAUCCAGGAAAGACUAGUAUAUAAGUAUGGUAGUUGCAAUGAUAUUAUGGUUGGAAAUGUUAUUAGUUGUUGGGUUGGAACUAUGUGUGUAUGUAACCUAGUAAGAUUUGAAUAGAUUUGAUGAUUUUGCUGGGCAUUCGAAGUUAUAGAUUUUACAAUCAACGUGGAAUUUUAAUUAUUUUGGAGCCAAAUGGUCAUUAGUGUUAUCAAAAUUUUGUGGUGAUUUGUGACCACUUAUAUGGGAUAAUAAUAGAAAUCAUAAUGGUG
rnacentral:lncRNA from 1 species